GCCCCCAUCGUCUAGCGGCCCAGGACGCCGCCCUUUCAAGGCGGAGAUCAGGGGUUCGAAUCCCCUUGGGGGCA
rnacentral:tRNA from 1 species